CCCAAGUGUGGCUGAAUCCAAAAAUAAUGACAGUGAAGCCUAAUCCAUACAGGAAACCGUAGGAUGUUGGAGAUUUCAGUGAUGUCACUGGUAAAGAAUGCUGUAAACCUGGAGAAGACCUCGCUCAAAAGAGAGGUUGUACGAGUUAUCUAAGCGCUUUGGACCCAGAUAAUUCCAUCAAGAGCACAAGAUGCCGGACAGGGAACAGCAGGAUUUGGUGUCCAUCUUGCUGGAUUUUGGUCUUACUUUGGUGGUAUCUUUUCUUGCUAUGACCCAAUUCCUCUCUUUCAAAAAGAAGAGUAUUUGUUUCAUGCUAUUGUAUGUUCAAAGUAUGCUGUUUGCUCUUCAUUUUACAGGGGACUACAGUUCAGAGAUUGCCUUUGUCCCUUUAGAGACUGUGUUUUUGAGCACUGUUAGGAUUGUUGAGGACUAUGAGGGCUUCUGGAGUUGCAAUGAAUGCCUUUGGCUUCGUGAGAUGGCCAUGAGCUUGUGGAAGCCAGCAGCUGUGGAAUGCUGAAUGUGAAAUGUACCCCAUGGACAUGCAUUUGAGUACUUGGUACCUUGUGGCGGCCCUGUUUGGGAAGGUUGUGAAACUUGCAUAGGUGGAGCCCUUGUAGAGGAAGUGGAUCAUUAGAGGUUAAGCCUUGAUACUUUGUAACUUAUCCUAACUUCCUAGUCACUCUCUGAUUCUUGACUAUAGAUACAAUGUUUCUAUCCAGCCUCUGGAUCCUGAAACAAUGUUACCAUCCAGCCUCUCGCUCCUGCUGCCAUCCAUGCCUUCCCUACCUUGAUGCAGUGAUCUCCUCAGAUUGUAAGACUAAAUUCUGUACAUUGUUUCUUGUCAAGUAUUUGCUAAUAGUAACAAGGAACAUAACUAAGGCGUAGGUCUUCCCUGAGGCUGGGGUCAGUUCAUCCAUCUGGUUGGGCAGACACUGCUGCCUUUCUUAAAUACAACCAGAGGAGAACACCCUGCCUGGCUCCUGACCCAGAGGAAAAAGGACACUGUACUUCUAGCUAGUAUUCUUCAGUUCCGGUCAACUCUAAUCAGAGUUCAGAUGCUUGGAUUACAGAAUUUCCAAACUUUGAGAGGCUAAAAAUGCAAGAGCCUCUGGGCGGCUUAGUGACACAGAGGCACUAAAGAGGUGUCUCGAUAUUUGCCUCACCCCGCUUUGCUUUAAUGUGGGUUAUUCAUUGUCCUUUCCCUUUGCAAUCAGAGCAAGCAUUCCAACCUUUGUGUCUGUUUCCAUCAGUCCCUCCCCCGCUCCACACACACUGACCAAUUUCAUCACGCUCCUCCUUCUUGCUUGCCUAAUGCUGACCAGUCAGCCCAGACUUAUCCAAGAAAGCCAACAGUCUCUGCUGCCAACCCAACUGGAUGAAUUAACCCAAGUUUCAGGGAAGACCUAUAACUCUAGCCCUGGAGCCAUGCCUUAUGUUCUACGUUUGCACAAAGAAGGCCAAGUCAGCAGCAAAGUCAAUGCAGAACAAGCCAGUACGCAGAGUUCUUCCAUGGCUUCUGUGUCAGUCUCUGCCUCCAGGAACCGGACUUGAGUUUCUGCAUUGGCUUCUCUCAAUGGAGGUGACCUGAGACAUGUAAGAUUGACCCGUCUUGGGGACCAGUGAGCAGAGUCUGCAGACACCCAAGUGGCCCACUGACCAGGGCGUGGGGAGGGGCCUUUGCUCUUUCCAGCUCUAGCCCAGAAACCUCGAUGUCUACCAGUUCAUGAGAUUGGCAUGUACCUCUCCAGAUCAGGAAACACGGGUCCCCUCUCUGCAAGGAAGCCGAGCCCAAGCGUCUUCCUCAAAGUGACUAUCAGACACAACUGAGUAAAGGCACCAGCCUCCUCGAUGCCAGUGAAGUAACAACCGCCACGGGCCACCAUGAGAUCAUAUCAAGAGUACACACAUCUGACAUACACCCAUCAUGGCAUACUAACUUGCCUAGCCAUGGAUAUUCACCAGCCAUUCUCCCUCCUCCUUCCAUCUGGUGUCUUCAGACUGGAGAUAAACGAAACUCAACAACAAUAUCCAGGCCAUCGUGAGUGUCUAACGGAACACUGGCAGCGAGGUGGUUAACUUUAAAGUUAGAGGAGGAACAGAGGCCGGGAGAACGUGACUGUGACCCAAGAAUAGAUUAAGAAAUCAAGCUGUGUCCCACUCCUAGCAUCCUAACAAAUGAAGGAGUUCGAAAUAGUCUCAUAGUGGGUUGCAAAUGGCAAACACAAGCUUUGUUUUAGAUGUUCAGUUACUUGUAUGUUUAUGGGUGUCUCUGUAAGACAUUUGUGCCUAAAACAAUGGUUUGAAUUGUGCCAAAAGGUAAUUGGUUUGGUUAUGUUUACAAAAGAGGGUAUUUUUGUUCAGUGUGUUCAGAAUUAAUUGUAAGGUGGGUAAAGAUUAAAAGGCAACGCUGUGGCCACAUCUGAUAAAUAUUCUUAGAGGACACAGGACUAAGGAUCCAGGGGGAAAAUUCACUACAGUUGCUGAAGAAAGACUGCAUGAAGGAGAUGGUUUUGGAUUGCAUGUGGACAAGAUGGAUAAGAAUAUAGGCCAUAUUGCUAGGGCAUAGACUAGCACAAAAAGAUGUGGGUAACCCUCUGUGGUUUCUAUGGCAACACCACUUAACUUGGUACAGUAUGAAGCCCUUACACUUCAGGAUGAAAAACAAAAAGUUGUUUGUUUGUUUUUUUUUCUGAGACUCUCAUAUAUUAUGUUGUUUACUUAGCAUGCAUUCUCCAUGAGGUAUGAAACAUUUCUUAUCCAGCUUGGCUAAUGAAGAUGAUAGAUACCUGGUCCAACAUAACCCUUUCAUUAUUUUGUAUUUUCAAUGUUCAUAUUAAGAUGUUAAUAUGGGAUACGGGCAUUAGAGUACAAAAAUGGCAUCUUACUCCUGUAUGUGUUCAUUUUCCUUCAUUUUGGGGAUCCCUAAAGAGUCCCCAUAUUUCUAUCUGGAACACUGAAAACAUUUCUUAUCCCAAGGUAUCAUAACUCACAGGGUUAAUUAGCACCCCGUGUAGGUGCAGGCAGCUCGCAGAUUUAUAACCUCUGUCUAGACUUCUCCUCUCAGUUAUUUAGGCUUGGGGAUUUAUUUGCCUACUUAGGUAUGUUAAAGACAUCUCACCAUCCGCAGGUCAUAAAUCAAAACCAUGAGAUGAGAGCUUAGAGAAGAGGUUCCCCAGUGCUGUAUUCAUCACAACACAUGACUGAAAGUCUCUCAUUUUUCUCCUCUUCUGAGUUGGAUUCAUCACCAGGUUAUAAUGAUUUUACAGGCAGACAGGUCUUGGAUCCUCCAUCAUCACCUGUAUCUCCAUCAUCACCUGUACCUAGUCAAACCAUCAAUGGCGUCUCUCCUGAGCCACUAUUUAAAAACCCACAAUGAUCUAUCAACAUCUACUGUCUCUCUCUCUCUCUCUCUUUAGUAGGCCAUUUCCUAGACCAUAGCCAGAGUUAGAACUUUGAAAUUUGAGUUUAAAAUAUUUCAGUGGUUUCCUGAUAUACUUGGGACAGAAAUAAAACUCUUCAGCAUGCCGGAUCAAUCAAAACGCACACUGCAGAAGGUUUCACUGAAAUAACUUCCCGAAGCAACUGUUGCCUAGGUGGGAGGAGAUGGACGGGUAUCAACAAGGUACAGUGGGCCAGCCGCUGGUGGCCAACUGUGAAGUUCCUUUCCCAAGCCCAGGUCAGAGAAGAGGGUGGGAAAGGAGCUGGGGGUGGGAAAAGAUCAAAGUCAUUGGAACCACUGCCAGGACAACUGUCCGGCAGGAAGACAUGCCCGGGUGGCUUUCCUCUCCUACCUUCUAAUUGCCUCAUGGUUCCUUCUACUGACUAAAUGAAGCUAGAAGCCACAGGCAGAAGAGCCAAGUGAUAAAUCAUGGCGUUAGCCUUCGGGAACAAAGGACAGAAAGGGGAACUCCAAUCUGUUUCUCUAGUACACAAUCACUUCCUCGACCAUACAUCCCAGGGAAAUAACAUUAUUGUCUAAAUCUUCUAGAUUCAUUUUUUAAUACUUCAAAUAAACCUUAUUAGUGAAAAAA